AUCUGGCUGACGAGUUUCAAAUAGGACGAAACGCGCUUACUGGAU
rnacentral:hammerhead_ribozyme from 1 species